UCAAUUUUACUGUUUUUUUUUUCCUUUUUAAUCUUUGGAUCGAAUCAUUGCUUAGUUCUUGCUUAAUUUCUCCAUUUUAUGGUGGGUCUUUGAUUGCAGGUUUAGCUCUGCGCGAGAACUGGGAAAUUUAAUUGUGACCUCCAAUCUAAUCGACUCUGCUUUGACUAAAAUUCUUGAGCUUCAAAGAGACCAAACAGCCUUGCCUUCCCCCGUUCAAUACAGAGUUUUUUAUCCAUCUCCCAAGUGCACAAUUGUAGCUUUUGUCUCUUCACCUGACUGCACUCAAAACCCUCUUCCUGGACAAGGAGAUUUAGUUCCCUCUCCUCUCUUUGACUUCCUCUGCACCGAAGAAUACCCUUCCGUCUCCAUUAACGGAGCCGCAUUAACCCUCUUUACCUCUCUCUACGAUCAUCUCUCUGGACUAAUAGAUGAGGUCAAAAUCUGAUACUUGUUUUAAUUUACGUUAACUUUUCGUUAACAAUUGUGAGACACGAAACAGCUUGACCAUGAGAUCUCCCUCAUGGAGUCAAAACCCGUGUUGGUAUCUGUUUUUAGAUCAACUUAUAUAUAUAUAUAUAUAUAUAUAUAUAUAUCUUGUGGAUAAAAGGAAAGUUUACAAGUGAGAAUAGUGGCAUUUUUCUGACAGAUUUCACACCGUUGCUUGUUUUGCAGUUGACUGUGAUUGAAGGUCGAUUAAUCAUCACUGGGCACUCGAUGGGAGGAUCCGUUGCUUCUCUCUUCACCUUAUGCCUGCUAGAAGUCAUUAAUAUAUCAAAACCCAAAUGCCGCCCCAUUUGCAUCACCUUUGGUUCACCCCUCAUAGGCGACUUUGGCCUCCAACACUCCAAUUGGAAUUCUUUCUUCUUGCAUGUAGUGUCCAACCAAGAUCUAGUCCCCGGACUCUUCCUCCCAUCCGGCAGAUCUCCUCCCACAUCCUCCCAUUCACAAACUACUGGUUACAAGCCCUUUGGGACAUAUCUCUUGUGCUCUGAACUUGGUUGUGCUUGUUUUGACAACCCUGAUUUAAUUUUGGAAUUGCUGAAAGUCAUAUCAUCAGAGGUUGCCGGAGGAUUGCGGGAUGUUGAUUACAGGAAGAUUUUAAUAAACCUCAAGGAGAGGGCAAUCUUCAAGGGACUUCAGCAGGUGGGUGAAAGGUUUGCAGAUCCCUUGUCAGCUGGGAUCGUCAUGGACCUUGAGAUAAUUGGAUUUGAUCAAACAAAGGUAAACAGCUUUCUCCCAAUUAAUGAUGUAGUAUGGUUUACACUCAACUUCACCAAAACCUGCAACAACUGCCCUAUUUAGAUUUGCCUUCCUGUUCUUUGGGUUCUUCUAUAACUUCUCAUUUUUUAAAUUCAUGGCAGCUGUUGCGGCACAACAUUGAUAUCAACACUGUGAUAAGGAUACUGGGAGUGGAAGCCAGAAUCCUAGCCCACAAAAAUAAAGCUUCUGAUGCCAAGAAACUGAAUGACAUAAAAAUACACAUGGCCCAGCUAGAAUGGUAUAAGAAGAAAUCAAAAGAUCUGAACAAGGGUUACUACGACUGCUUCAAAAACCAGGGGUCAAAAAGGGACAUUAAAAUUGAACAGUAUAGGGGACACCUCACAAUAUACUGGAAAGACAUGGUUGCACAAGUACAGAGGAAGCCCCAGAAGGAAGGAGCAUCAUUUCGAACCAGUUGGCUCUAUCCAGGGACAACUUAUAGAAGAAUGGUUGAACCACUGGACAUUGCUGCCUUCUACAGAGAGGGUAGAACAGACUACAUAAACAAUGGAAGAUCUCCUCAUUACAAGCUGUUGCAGCAAUGGUAUGAGGAAGAUGUGAAGCCCCCAUCCAGAGAUAAGCUCGAUUCCAAGAAACUAAAGGUGUCUGGUAUCCUAACUGAGGAUUCUUUGUUUUGGGCACAUGUGGAGGAGGCUCUCUUGUCAUGCGAAUCGCUCAAGAGUGCAAACUCUACUCUUGAGCAGAGAAAAUCAUCAUGGGAUAAUCUGGUUAAGUUUGGGGAGUAUGUAAUGGAACAGAUUGGAAACUAUGCAGUGUCCCCUGAGAUUUUCUUGGGGGAAAGCAGCUUCAUGAAAUGGUGGGGAGUGUAUGAGGACUACAUAGAUGCUUCCAAUAAUUCCUAUGGGUCACCAUUGAUCAGCUUUAUGAAGAACCGUAGUUAUAGACUGUAUGGUUAGAGGGCAAUCCAGUUUGUGUAUUGUGUUUAUUGUAUUGUGAGCAUUCAAUAGAUAAAACUAGAAAGAGCGUGACCUUUUUAUGACAACUUUAGAAACCAGGGGUUAAAAGAGACAUUACAAACUGAAGUUUUUGAGAGGAAACCUCAAGAGUAUACUGGGAAGCCAUGGUGGAACAAGUAGAGAGGAAGCCUCAGAAGGAAGGAGCAAUGGUUGAACCACUUGACAUUGUUGCCUACUACAGGGAGGGUGUAAGAAACAACAUAACCGAGGGAAGAUCUGAACGUUAAACGUUGUCCAAUUAUUAUAAAUGUCUUAUACAUUACGUGUGAAAAUACCAAAAAAAAUUAUAUUCAACAUUUAUGUUUGUAUACAAGCAAUAUUUUGGAUAGUUUGAUAUAAAAAACAAAUGAAGAAAAUGAAGAAAAACAUACAAAUAUAUUUACAAUGGACAAACUUAUACAAUUAGUAUAAAUGUCUUGUAUAUUUAGUACAAAUGUCUCGUACUUUGUAAAAAUAUAAAAAUAUAGUAUUUGACUUUUAUAUAUGUGUGAAAAUGUAAAAAGAAAAAGAAAAAUAGUUAGAGCAUUUGGUACCGUGAGUGAUGACUUCACCUAAAGAAAGGUUAAUGAAUAUUAUGGUCUCGAUGGAAGAGCGACUCCGGUAAAAUAUAUGGAUUAAAUUGAUGCUUUUCUUUUGACGAUGAAGUAGUUGAGUUAUGAAUACGAGGUUUUGCUAACAGCAUUGAAGGCAAGGAUUCCCUAAUAUACUCCAAUUCAUAUUCAAUUUGUAGACCUUCAACUAACUACUCUUGCUAACGAGCAUAUCCAAGUCAAUACAUAAGAUUAAUUAAGAUUAAGUAUUACGUAUGAUAAUUGAAACCCUAUUUAAAUAAAUAAUGACACAUAUAUAAAAAAUAUAUAUAUUUUUAAAAAAAUAAAUAACAAUUUAGAGAAUUUCAUAACUUAGCAUCAAACCUAUUGUAAGAAAGAGUAUUAUACAAUGUAGGGUUUAGGAUCCAAGUCAACCUAAGAUCAAAUUUAAGUUUUAAGAUCAAUUCACAUUCAAAACUAAGGUUUUAAGUUUCAAAAAUAUAUUUCUUAAACCAAUUAAAUGGAAAAAAGAAAAUUACAAAGAAAAUUUCUCCCUCAUCAGUUUCUUUUAUCUUGAAAACUAAAGGAAAUAUAUAUCAAUAUUUGAGAUGGAAAUUCAUAAUCUUAGGUGGUGUUUGUUUUUUUGGCUUUUUGCUGAAAACUAUUUAGUUUUAGAAUUUAGGUUUUUUUUUUUUUUUACUUUUUCAUGACUUAUAAUAAACUUUUUACUAAAUAGAAAAAACCAAAAUAUGUGGUUUUUUCUAAAUAGAAAAAAUAACACAAUGGUUUUUUUUACUUUUUAAUACUUAAUAGAAAUAAAAUACUACAAAAACAAACAUCUUAAUAUUUAAUACUAUUAAGUAUUAAGGUUCUAUUUAGAAUUAAGUAAAAAAACAAACACCACCUUAGAAACACAAAGAACAAAGAGAGUAUGAAGAGACCAUACCAUGAGAGAUUUUCCGAAAGGUUGGUAAACCAUGGUAAUCACCUUUGAGUCUUGCUGAGAAAAACAAACCUUAUUUAUUUUUAUUUUUUUAUCAUUUUUUCUCUUGUGUGGUGUACAUUUAAGAAAAACAAAUCUCAAAAAAAAAAAAAAACACAAACCAAAUAAUGCCAGAAUUUGGGUUGAGAAACACCCAAAAGAUAGUGGCCCAAUACAUGUGCCUAAGAAAAUCUUCAUGAGCCGAUAAACAUAGUCACAAAACUAGUAACAGCCUUGUAGCCAUAGUUGGUGUAGUAUGAGCAAGUGGGGUAUGAAGUAGGUAGGUGAGUAUUGCAAUGAAAUUUCCAGCACUGCUUCCUGAAUUAAGAAAUCACAUACCCAAGUCUUAGUCGUCGUCGUCGUCGUACCGUGUGAGAACCGGGAAGAAUCUUUGCUCGUAGACUGGCUUUUGUAGUCUUUCUUUAACAAUUACAAGUUAUCUGAAUUCCCUUCAUCCUCCUAUAUAAUAUUGUUUUGGUCUUGUUCUUGUUGCAUUGUGGCUAGGCAUCUCCAUGGAAGGAAGGAGGAUGAAUCAAGUUCCUUUGUAUGAAUCAAUUUCUCUGCUCUUUUUUUUUUUCAAUCCUUGAAUCGAAUCAUUGCUUAGUUCUUGCUUUAAUUUCUCCAUUUUCUGUUGGGUCUUUGAUUGCAGGUUUAGCUCUGCAAGAGAACUGGGAAAUUUAAUUGUGACCUCCAAUCUAAUCGACUCUGCUUUGACUAAAAUUCUUGAGCUUCAAAGAGACCAAACAGCCUUGCUUUCCCCCGUUCAAUACAGAGUUUUUUUAUCCAUCUCCCAACUGCACAAUUGUAGCUUUUGUCUCUUCACCUGACUGCACUCAAAACCCUCUUCCUGGACAAGGAGAUUUAGUUCCCUCUCCUCUCUUUGACUUCCUCUGCACCGAAGAAUACAAGUCCGUCUCCAUUAACAGAGCUGCAUUAACCCUCUUUACCUCUCUCCACGAUCAUCUCUCUGGACUAAAAACUCAGGUCAAAAUAUGAUAGUUGUUUUUAUUUUCGUUUCCUUUUUGUUAACAAUUGUGAGACAUGAAACAGCUUGACCAUGAGAUCUCUCUCAUAGAGUCAAACUACCUGAAGAAGAAGAAGACGUUACACAUAUCCAUCUGCGUUGCAUCAUCGCAUUACCCAUUGAUCGGUUGUGAUUCAACUCUUAAUAGGAAGACAGUAGAACUGGUGUUGGUAUCUGUUUUUAGAUCAGCUUAUAUGUAUCUUGUUGCUAAAAAGGGAAUGUUUAGAAGUGAGAUUAAUGGGAUUAUUCUGACAUGGAUUUCAUAUGGUUACCUGUUUUGCAGUUGACUGUGAUUGAAGGUCAAUUAAUCAUCACUGGGCACUCCCUGGGAGGAGCCGUUGCUUCUCUCUUCACCUUAUGCCUGCUAGAUGAAAAUUUAUUAAAACCCAAAUGCCGCCCCUUUUGUAUCACCUUUGGUUCACCCCUCGUCGGCGGCUUUGGCCUCCAACACUCCAUAUGGAAUUCUUUCUUCCUGCAUGUAGUGUCUAACCAAGACCCAGUCCCCGGUCUCUUCCUCCCAUCUGGCAGAGGCAGAUCUACGCCCACAUCCUCCCAUUCACAAACUACCGGUUACAAGCCCUUUGGGACAUAUCUCUUGUGCUCUGAACUUGGUUGUGCUUGUUUUGACAACCCUGAUUUAAUUUUGGAAUUGCUGAAAGUCAUAUCAUCAGAGGUUGCCGGAGGAUUGCAGGAUGUUGAUUAUGGGGAGAUUUUAAGAAACCUCAAGGAGAGGGCAAUCUGCAAGGGACUUCCGCAGGUGGGUGAAAGGUUUGCAAAUCCAUUUUCAGCUGGGAUCAUCAUGGAACUUGAGACAAUUGGAUUUAAUCAAACAAAGGUAAACAGCUUUCUCCCAUCUAAUGAUGUUAUGGAACAUGGUUUACACCUCAUUAAAUACUGCAACAACUGCCCUAUUUAGAUUUACCUUCUUGUUCUUUGGGAUUUUCCAUAACUAGACUCAUUUUUUAAUUUCAUGGCAGCUGCUGCAGCAUAACAUUGAUAUCGAGACUGUGAUAAGCGCAAUGGAAGCGGAAGCAAGAAACCUAACCCAGAAAAAUAAAGCUUCCGAUGCCAAGAAACUGAAUGAAAUAAAAAUAGACAUGACCCGGCUAGAAUUGUAUAAGAAGAAUUCGAACAUGGGUUACUACGAUUGCUUCAAAAACCAGGGGUCUAAAAGGGACAUCCACGUUGAACAGUUUAGGGUAAACCUCACAGGGUACUGGGAAGGCAUGGUUGCACAAAUACAGAGGAAGCCUCAUAAGGAAGGAGCAACAUUUCGAACCCGUUGGCUCUAUGCAGGGACGGUUUAUAGAAGAAUGGUUGAACCACUGGACAUUGCUGCCUUCUACAGAGAGGGUAGAAAAGACUACAUGAAUAAAAGAUCUGCACAUUACAAGCUGUUGCAGGAAUGGUAUGAGGAAGAUGUGAAACCCCCCUCUAGAGAUAAGCUUGAUUCCAAGAAGCAAAAGGUGUCCAGUAUCCUAACUGAGGAUUCUUGCUUUUGGGCACAUGUGGAGGAGGCUAUCUUGUCAUGCGAAUUGCUCAAGAGUGAAAACUGUAAUCUUGAGGAGGGAAAAUCAUCAUGGGAUAAUCUGGUUAAGUUCGAGGAGUAUGUAAUGGAACAGAUUGACAACUAUGCAGUGUCCCCUGAGAUUUUCUUGGAGAAAAGCAGCUUCAUGAAAUGGAGGGGACUGUAUGAGGGCUACAUAGAUACUCGCAGUAAUUCCCAUAGCUCGCCAUUGAUCAGCUUUAUGAAGAAUCGUAGUUAUAGACAAUAUGGAUAGAGGGGUAAUCCAGUUUGUGUGUUGUGUGUAUUGUUUUGUGAGCAUUCAAUGGAUAGAACUAGAAAGAGUGUGACCUUUUCCUUUUUUUUUUCAGUUGCUGCCCAUAUUCUCAGCACUAUUUUCUUCCUUCUUUUCCUCAGUUUUUUUGUUAAGAAAUGAAUAUUAUGAUGUUGCCGGGAUGCACUUUCAUUUUUGUUCCAUUACAUUGUGUUUUAUUCAUAUCCUAAACAAAUAAAUGUAAACAAGAAAAUCAAAUGAGACUUCAAAGAGUCUGUUCCUUUUAAAGCAAGGGAAAAAAAGGACAUGUUUGUUUACUUCCACAGCUGGGUAGAUUCAACUCCACCAAAAUUGGCAACAACUUCCCAUUGAAAAAUUCCUUUUAAGCUUGAAUGACAUAAAACUAGAUAUGUUCCAGCUAGAAUGGUACAAGAAAGAAAUCAAAAGAUGAGCACAAUGGGUUAUUAUGACAGCUUUAGAAACCUGGGGUGUAAAAGAGACAUUAAAAUGGAACCGAGGGGAAGACAUUGUAGAACAAGUAAAGAGGAAGCCUCACCAGGAAGGGCAGCUUUGCAAACCCUCUGGCUCUGUACAGGAACGAAUUAUAGAAAGAUGGUUGAACCACUUGACAUUGCUGCCUACCACAGAGAGGGUGGAAGAAACUACAUAACCAAUGGAGGAUGUAAACAUUACACGCUAUUAGAGCAAUGAUGCAAUGAAGAGAAGGGGACUUUGUCUUCCAAUAAUUUAAGAAAAUAAAACCAAAUAAUGCCAGAAUUUGGGUUGAGAAACACCCAAAAGAUAGUGGCCCAAUAUGAAGUAGUCACAAAACUAGUAACAGCCUUGUGGCCAUAGUUGGUGUAGUAUGAGCAAGUGGGGUAUGAAGUAGGUAGGUGAGUAUUGCAAUGAAAUUUCCAGCACUGCUUCCUGAAUUAAGAAAUCACAUACUCAAGUCUUAAUCGUUGUCAUCAUACCGUGUGAGAACCGAGGAAGAAUCUUUGCUCUUAGACUGGAUUUUGUAGUCUUUCUUUAACAAUUACAAGUUAUCUGAAUUCCCUUCAUCCUCCUAUAUAAUAUUGUUUUUGGUCUUGUUCUUGUUGCAUUGUGGCUAGGCAUCUCCAUGGGAGGAAGGAGGAUGAAUCAAGUUCCUUUGUAUGAAUCAAUUUCUCUGCUCUUUUUUUUUUCAAUCCUUGAAUCGAAUCAUUGCUUAGUUCUUGCUUUAAUUUCUCCAUUUUCUGUUGGGUCUUUGAUUGCAGGUUUAGCUCUGCAAGAAAACUGGGAAAUUUAAUUGUGACCUCCAAUCUAAUCGACUCUGCUUUGACUAAAAUUCUUGAGCUUCAAAGAGACCAAACAGCCUUGCCUUCCCCCGUUCAAUACAGAGUUUUUUAUCCAUCUCCCAACUGCACAAUUGUAGCUUUUGUCUCUUCACCUGACUGCACUCAAAACCCUCUUCCUGGACAAGGAGAUUUAGUUCCCUCUCCUCUCUUUGACUUCCUCUGCACCGAAGAAUACAAGUCCGUCUCCAUUAACAGAGCUGCAUUAACCCUCUUUACCUCUCUCCACGAUCAUCUCUCUGGACUAAAAACUCAGGUCAAAAUAUGAUAGUUGUUUUUAUUUUCGUUUCCUUUUUGUUAACAAUUGGGAGACAUGAAACAGCUUGACCAUGAGAUCUCUCUCAUAGAGUCAAACUACCUGAAGAAGAAGAAGACGUUACACAUAUCCAUCUGCGCUGCAUCAUCGCAUUACCCAUUGAUCGGUUGUGAUUCAACUCUUAAUAGGAAGACAGUAGAACUGGUGUUGGUAUCUGUUUUUAGAUCAGCUUAUAUGUAUCUUGUUGCUAAAAAGGGAAUGUUUAGAAGUGAGAUUAAUGGGAUUAUUCUGACAUGGAUUUCAUAUGGUUACCUGUUUUGCAGUUGACUGUGAUUGAAGGUCGAUUAAUCAUUACUGGGUACUCGAUGGGAGGAUCCGUUGCUUCUCUCUUCACCUUAUGCCUGUUAGAAGUCAUCAAUUUAUCAAAACCCAAAUGCCGCCCCAUUUGUAUCACCUUUGGUUCACCCCUCAUAGGCGACUUUGGCCUCCAACACUCCAAUUGGAAUUCUUUCUUCUUGCAUGUAGUGUCCAACCAAGAUCUAGUCCCCGGACUCUUCCUCCCAUCCGACAGAUCUCCUCCCACAUCCUCCCAUUCACAAACUACUGGUUACAAGCCCUUUGGGACAUAUCUCUUGUGCUCUGAACUUGGUUGUGCUUGUUUUGACAACUCUGAUUUAAUUUUGGAAUUGCUGAAAGUCAUAUCAUCAGAGGUUGCCAGAGGAUUGCGGGAUGUUGAUUACAGGAAGAUUUUAAGAAACCUCAAGGAGAGGGCAAUCUGCAAGGGACUUCCGCAGGUGGGUGAAAGGUUUGCAAAUCCAUUUUCAGCUGGGAUCAUCAUGGAACUUGAGACGAUUGGAUUUAAUGAAACAAAGGUAAACAGCUUUCUCCCAUCUACUGAUGUUAUGGAACAUGGUUUACACAUCAUUAAAUACUGCAACAACUGCCCUAUUUAGAUUUAGGGCAAUGAUGAAAAUAUCAGUAAUCACGGAUAUAUCAGUAUUUCGAUUUUACGGAUAUAUCGGAUAUAUCGGAGAUAUAUCGGUAGAUAUUUUGAAAAAAAAUAUCGGCAAGCUUAAAAUUGUUAAAAACUCAUGAAAAUAUAAGAAAAUCUCAUAAUAAUAUAAUUAAAAGUAUAAUAGACAUUUUAAAGUUAUUUUAUUGAAAAUUUUGAUAUAUGUAUAACAUGAUUUAUCAUAUUUGAUAAUAAUAUCGUAUGCGUCGAUAAAAAUAUGAAUUUUAUAAGUGUACAUUUAUUAUUAAAUUACACCUAAUAUUAUGAUAUCUGAUUAUAAUAUGUCUAAUUUUAAAAUAUAUAUUAGUAUUAAAAUAUGAUCCAUUUAAUUCAAUUGUAUUAAACAAUAUAAAAUAAAUAAUGAUAUAUAUAUAUAUAUAUAUAAUUUUUUAAUAUUUAAUUAAUUAUUAAUGAUAUUAAAAACAUUAUGAAGAAAAUUAUAUAAUUUUUUAAUUUUUGGUAAUUAAUUAAAAGACUUUGCAUUUAAUUAUAAAUUAAUUAUAAUUAAUUUACUCUUUAAAAUAUUCUUAUAUUUUCUUUAUAUAAUGAAUUUAAGUAUAUAUAUAGUUGUUGCAUAUUAUAUAUUAAAGGACAACUUAGCCCAAGUGGUAAGCGAGUGAACCCCAAUGUGAGGCAUUGUAGCACGUGCACUGUAGCAUCACUGUAGCGACUCUGACUUUCGUUGACCCGCAUUGACUACACGAUAUAUCGGAGAAAAAUCACUGAUUUAUCGCCAAAUCACCAAUAAAUCGCCGAUUUCUCGCGAUAAAUACCAAAAUAUAGUGUCGAAACCCUUCGAUACACGAUUUUUCGGCGCAUUUUCUUACUUGGAUUUACCUUUUUGUUCUUUGGGAUCUUCCAUGACUCAUUUUUUAAUGCCAUUUUAUUUUCCUUUUUGUUUCUAAAUUUUUAAAAAAUCGUUUUCACUUCUUUUUUUUAAGAAAAUUUUGGCAAAUUUUGAAAAUAUAAUAUUAGUGUUUUCACUUCUUUCUUUUUUUUUUUUUUCUUUUUUUUUUUAAACUCAAUUUUCUAAAAAAUGAAAAUAGAAAAACAUUGUCUAAACAUGUUUGUAAACUUAAUUUUAUUUUUUUAUAAAUGAAAAAAAAAAUCUAAAUGAGUAAGGCUUUAUUAAUUUUAAUUUUUUUCUUUUCCUUAUAUUUUCUUAUUUUAUUCCAAAUUUUCUUGCAACCAAACAUAAUCUAAAUGUUUACAACUUUUAUUGUAAGGAAUGAAUGACACUACUUUGUGAACUUUUAUGAUAAUAUUUUGAAUCAUAAAUUGUGUUUUUUUUAGUAAUAUCAAUUUUAUUACCAAUGACUUAAUUGUUAAUAACAAAAUAUAAUAUUUAUAAAUAUUUUUAUUCUCAACAGGCUACAAUUUUUACUCUUGUGAUAAAAAAAAUUUUGUCAUAAAUUACACAUUAUGAUGAGUUUUUCUAUUUUCCUUAUCAGCCAAUUCAACAAAUAUCAUAUAUAUUGUAAUGGCUAACAAAUUUUCACAUAAAUUUUUUAUAAGAUAAAGUAGAAUGGAAUUAUUCAAUUUCAAAAAAAAAAAAAAUGGUACCUAAUGAAAAAGAUAAAAUAUAUAGAUCAUCUCGAAGAAAUCAGGAAAGAUAAAUGAUGAGACCAUAUAUAGGACCCUUGAUGGAGACUAUUUUAAUUGAAGUGGUGUGCUCCUUCCGACUCAGAACAUGUUCAGCAUUGCACACAAACUAACAUCGUCGAUCUUGAGUAUGAAAAAGGUGAUUAGAUUCCAAGGUUGUCGUUUGUCCCAACUCCUCAUAUUAGAGGUGAUGCUCAAGCUAACGUGCCUCGCAGUUGAGCCCCGGCCAAUCGGUCUAAUAUGCUUUUCCAAUGGUGAGUUUCACUGCCACCAUGUAUUACAUUAAUUCCGAUAGCGCACAAGUUGUGUUUGUGCUAUUGCUUUUUGCCCUCACAAACAUAUACACAAGAGACAUUCAGACCAGAUCUGUUCUACCAUCCUCUAGGAAAGCAUUGUAGGUCAUUUGAAAUUGGGAUUUCAGCACCAGAGUCAAAUUGCCUUCCUUCCUGAAAGAUGAGCAUUUUUUAUACUCUUACAUCGGCUUUUAUGGAAAUGAAAUCAGCUUCUCAUUCUGUUACAUUUUUCAAUUUUGCUGCCUAUAACUGCUCACUGCCUGUUUGUGAGACAUUAUCCAGAUUUUCCCUGAUCAAUUAUAGAGAGGUCAUUGGACUCAUCCAUGAUUGGAAUUUCCUGUUAUCAUUAUUUGCAAAUCAUCAACCAUUUGUCAUGAUAUCUUAAGUUAAGCUGAGCACGAAUUUCAGCUAAGAUCCUCAGAACUAGAAAUAUGCACUGCAGGUAUUACUUGAUAUGUGAAUAUCCAAUACAAUAUUUUUUUACUAAGAGGAAUACGAAUUUGAAACACUUUCCAAUAAUUUAUCAAGUCAUAUUUUCGUGCUGUCGUGAUACAUGUGUCUACUGUAUGCAUGGCUUUUCUUUUCUACACAUGCCUUUAUCUUUGCACAUGACUCUUUUGAUACACGCCAGCAUCAAGGCAAUUGCCUAAAUCUAAAUCACAUCCUUUGUGUCACGUCUUCCUUGUUACCACGGUCCUCUUGUACACCAUGGUCCCUUAAUGUAACUUGUGCCACAAGCCCUUUGUGCAUGAAUUCAAAUUGUUCAAUCAUUUCGCCAUUUACACCUUUUAAGGUCCAAUAAGCGUAUACAAGAGACUACACUCAUUCUAGAUGAUAAAGUACAUUCAACUAACUACUCUUGCUAAUGAGCAUAUCCAAGUCAAUACAUAAGAUUAAUUAUUACAUAUGGUAAUUGAAACCCUGUUUAAAUAAAUAGUGACACAAAUAUAAAAAAUAUAUAUAUUUAAAAAUAAAUAAAUAACAAUUUAGAGAAUUUCAUAACUUAGUAUCAAACCUAUUGUAGGAAAGAGUAUUAUACAAUGUAGGGUUUAGGAUCAAAGUUAACCUAAGAUCAAUUUUAAGUUUUAAGACCAAUUCAAAUUCAAAACUAAGGUUUUAAGUUUCAAAAAUAUAUCUCUUAAACCAAUUAAAUAGAAAAAAGAAAAUUACAAAGAAAAUUUCUUCCUCAUCGGUUUCUUUUAUCUUGAAAACUAAAGGAAAUAUAUAUCAAUAUUUGAGAUGGAAAUUCAUAAUCUUAGAAACACAAAGAACAAAGAGAGUAUGAAGAGACCAUACCAUGAGAGAUUUUCCAAAAGGUUGGUAAACCAUGGUAAUCACCUUUGAGUUUUGCUGAGAAAAACAAACCUUAAUUUUUAUUUUUAUUUUUUUAUCAUUUUUUCUCUUGUGGUGUACAUUUAAGAAAAACAAAUCUUAAAAAAAAAAAAAAAAAAACCAAAUAAUGCCAGAAUUUGGGUUGAGAAACACCCAAAAGAUAGUGGCCCAAUACAUGUGCCUAAGAAAAUCUUCAUGAGCCGAUAAACAUAGUCACAAAACUAGUAACAGCCUUGUAGCCAUAGUUGGUGUAGUAUGAGCAAGUGGGGUAUGAAGUAGGUAGGUGAGUAUUGCAAUGAAAUUUCCAGCACUGCUUCCUGAAUUAAGAAAUCACAUACCCAAGUCUUAGUCGUCGUCGUCGUACCGUGUGAGAACCGGGAAGAAUCUUUGCUCGUAGAGUGGCUUUUGUAGUCUUUCUUUAACAAUUACAAGUUAUCUGAAUUCCCUUCAUCCUCCUAUAUAAUAUUGUUUUUGGUCUUGUUCUUGUUGCAUUGUGGCUAGGCAUCUCCAUGGAAGGAAGGAGGAUGAAUCAAGUUCCUUUGUAUGAAUCAAUUUCUCUGCUCUUUUUCUUUUCAAUCCGUGAAUCGAAUCAUUGCUUAGUUCUUGCUUUAAUUUCUCCAUUUUCUGUUGGGUCUUUGACUGCAGGUUUAGCUCUGCAAGAGAACUGGGAAAUUUAAUGGUGACCUCCAAUCUAAUCGACUCUGCUUUGACUAAAAUUCUUGAGCUUCAAAGAGACCAAACAGCCUUGCUUUCCUCCGUUCAAUACAGAGUUUUUUAUCCAUCUCCCAAGUGCACAAUUGUAGCUUUUGUCUCUUCACCUGACUGCACUCAAAACCCUCUUCCUGGACAAGGAGAUUUAGUUCCGUCUCCUCUCUUUGACUUCCUCUGCACCGAAGAAUACAAGUCCGUCUCCAUUAACAGAGCUGCAUUAACCCUCUUUACCUCUUUCCACGAUCAUCUCUCUGGACUAAAAACUCAGGUCAAAAUAUGAUAGUUGUUUUUAUUUUCGUUUCCUUUUUGUUAACAAUUGUGAGACAUGAAACAGCUUGACCAUGAGAUCUCUCUCAUAGAGUCAAACUACCUGAAGAAGAAGAAGACGUUACACAUAUCCAUCUGCGUUGCAUCAUCGCAUUACCCAUUGAUCGGUUGUGAUUCAACUCUUAAUAGGAAGACAGUAGAACUGGUGUUGGUAUCUGUUUUUAGAUCAGCUUAUAUGUAUCUUGUUUCUAAAAAAGGUAAGUUUAGAAGUGAGAUUAAUGGGAUUAUUCUGACAUGGAUUCCAUAUGGUUACCUGUUUUGCAGUUGACUCAGAUUGAAGGUCAAUUAAUCAUCACUGGGCACUCCCUGGGAGGAUCCGUUGCUUCUCUCUUCACCUUAUGCCUGCUAGAUGGAAAUUUAUUAAAACCCAACUGCCGCCCCUUUUGUAUCACCUUUGGUUCACCCCUCAUCGGCGGCUUUGGCCUCCAACACUCCAUAUGGAAUUCUUUCUUCCUGCAUGUAGUGUCUAACCAAGACCCAGUCCCCGGUCUCUUCCUCCCAUCUGGCAGAGGCAGAUCUACGCCCACAUCCUCCCAUUCACAAACUACCGGUUACAAGCCCUUUGGGACAUAUCUCUUGUGCUCUGAACUUGGUUGUGCUUGUUUGGAAAAGCCUGAUUUAAUUUUGGGAUUGCUGAAAGUCAGAUCAUCCGAGGUUGCCGGAGGAUUGCAGGAUGUUGAUUAUGGGGAGAUUUUAAGAAACCUCAAGGAGAGGGCAAUCUGCAAGGGACUUCAGCAGGUGGGUGAAAGGUUUGCAGAUCCUUUUACAGCUGGGAUCAUCAUGGACCUUGAGAUAAUUGGAUUUGAUCAAACAAAGGUAAACAGCUAGCUUUCUCCCAUCUAAUGAUGUUAUGAAACAUGGUUUACACUUCACCAAAUACUGCAACAACUGCCCUAUUUAGAUUUGCCGUCUUGUUCUUUGGGAUCUUCCAUAACUAGACUCAUUUUUUAAUUUCAUGGCAGCUGCUGCAGCAUAACAUUGAUAUCGAGACUGUGAUAAGCACAAUGGAAGAGGAAGCCAGAAACCCAACCAAAAAAAAUAAAGCUUUCGAUGCCAAGAUUCUGAAUCACAAAAAAAAAGACAUGGCCGGGCUAGAAUGGUAUAAGAAGAAAUCAAAAGAUCUGAACAAGGGUUACUACGACUGCUUCAAAAACCAGGGGUCAAAAAGGGACAUUAAAAUUGAACAGUAUGGGGGACACCUCACAUUAUACUGGAAAGACAUGGUUGCACAAGUACAGAGGAAGCCCCAGAAGGAAGGAGCAACAUUUCGAACCCGUUGGCUCUAUGCAGGGACGGUUUAUAGAAGAAUGGUUGAACCACUGGACAUUGCUGCCUUCUACGUAGAGGGUGGAACAGACUACAUGAAGAAUGAAAGAUCUCUUCAUUACAAGCUGUUGCAGCAAUGGUAUGAGGAAGAUGUGAAACCCCCCUCUAAGGAUAAGCUUGAUUCCAAGAAGCAAAAGGUGUCUGGUAUCCUAACUGAGGAUUCUUGCUUUUGGGCACAUGUGGAGGAGGCUAUCUUGUCAUGCGAAUUGCUUAAGAGUGAAAACUGUACUCUUGAGCAGGAAAAAUCAUCAUGGGAUAAUCUGGUUAAGUUCGAGGAGUAUGUAAUGGAACAGAUUAACAACUAUGCAGUGUCCCCUGAGAUUUUCUUGGGGGAAAGCAGCUUCAUGAAAUGGUGGGGACUGUAUGAGGGCUACAUAUAUGCUCGCAGUAAUUCCCAUAGGUCACCAUUGAUCAGCUUUAUGAAGAACGGUAGUUAUACAGAGUAUCGUUAGAGGGGUAAUCCAGUUUGUGUGUUGUGUGUAUUGUUUUGUGAGCAUUCAAUGGAUAGAACUAGAAAGAGUGUGACCUUUUUCCUUUUUUUCUUCUAGUUGCUGCCCAUAUUCUCAGCACUAUUUUCUUCCUUCUUUUCCUCAGUUUUUUCUUAAGAAAUGAAUAUUAUGAUGUUGCUGGGAUGCACUUUCAUUUUUGUUCCAUUACAUUGUGUUUUAUUCAUAUCCUAAACAAAUAAAUGUAAACAAGAAAAUCAAAUAAGACUUCAAAGAGUCUGUUCCUUUUAAAGCAAGGGAAAAAAAGGACAUGUUUGUUUACUUCCACAGCUGGGUAGAUUCAACUCCACCAAAAUUGGCAACAACUUCCCAUUGAAAAAUUCCUUCUAAGCUUGAAUGACAUAAAACUAGAUAUGUUCCAGCUAGAAUGGUACAAAAAAGAAAUCAAAAGAUGAGCACAAUGGGUUAUUAUGACAGCUUUAGAAACCAUCUUACAACACAUCCAUCAGAAUUUAGACUAUUCAUAGAAACAUUCUUAACAUGUAAAUCUACUAUUGCCAUGCACGUCAACAUAGAAUUUCUAAAAUGAUUGAAUAAAAUAAAUAAAACAAAAGAAACCCUUCCAAGAGAAUUUCAUAAUCUAAUGUCAAAUCUAUUACGAAGAUGAACAUGUAAAAUUUAAGGUUUAUAAUCAAAGUCGACUUGAAUCUGAGUUUUAAAACCAAUUUGCAGUUUUUAAGUUUGGAGACUAGAUCUCUUAAACCAAUUAAAUGUAAAAAACUAAAAAGAAAACUUCUUCAAAUUUUGAAAUGAGAAUGAGAAUGCAAUUCCUAACUAGUUUCUUCAUCAAAAAUCCCGAAAAAAAAAAAAAAAGAAGAGAGAGAGAGACCAUAGACGCCAGUGUUUGGGUUUAGAACCACCCAAGAGAGAGUAGUCCAAUAUAUGGGCUUAAGAAAAUCCUCAUGGGCCUAAGCUAAGACUAGGAACAAUCUUGUAUCCGUGGUUGGUUUAGUAUGAGCAUGUGUACUGCGAAGGAAGUAGCUGAGAAUUGCAAUGGAAUUUCCAGUACUGCUUCCUGAACGAACAAAUCGCAUACCCAAGAUUUGGUCGUCAACGCCAUGCUGGGUGAGAACCGGGGAAGCAUCUUCGCUCGUUGACGAGCUUUUGUAGUCCUUCUUUAACAAUUAUAAGGCAUCUGAAUUCCCUUCAUCCUCCCACACCAUUGUUUUUGGUCUUGUUCUUGUUGCUUUGUGACUACGCAUCUCCAUGGAAGGAAGGAGGAUGAACCAAGUUCCUUUGUAUGCAUCAAUUUUACUGUUUUUUUUUUCCUUUUUAAUCUUUGGAUCGAAUCAUUGCUUAGUUCUUGCUUAAUUUCUCCAUUUUAUGUUGGGUCUUUGAUUGCAGGUUUAGCUCUGCGCGAGAACUGGGAAAUUUAAUUGUGACCUCCAAUCUAAUCGACUCUGCUUUGACUAAAAUUCUUGAGCUUCAAAGAGACCAAACAGCCUUGCCUUCCCCCGUUCAAUACAGAGUUUUUUAUCCAUCUCCCAAGUGCACAAUUGUAGCUUUUGUCUCUUCACCUGACUGCACUCAAAACCCUCUUCCUGGACAAGGAGAUUUAGUUCCCUCUCCUCUCUUUGACUUCCUCUGCACCGAAGAAUACCCUUCCGUCUCCAUUAACGGAGCCGCAUUAACCCUCUUUACCUCUCUCUACGAUCAUCUCUCUGGACUAAUAGAUGAG
rnacentral:lncRNA from 1 species